rnacentral:rRNA from 1 species
AGAUGGAUUAGUGGCGCACGGGUGAGUAAUGCAUAGGUAACAUGCCCUUUAGUCUAGGAUAGCCACUGGAAACGGUGAUUAAUACUGGAUACUCCCUACGGGGGAAAGAAUUUCGCUAAAGGAUUGGUCUAUGUCCUAUCAGCUUGUUGGUAAGGUAAUGGCUUACCAAGGCUAUGACGGGUAUCCGGCCUGAGAGGGUGAACGGACACACUGGAACUGAGAUACGGUCCAGACUCCUACGGGAGGCAGCAGUAGGGAAUAUUGCUCAAUGGGGGGAACCCUGAAGCAGCAACGCCGCGUGGAGGAUGAAGGUUUUAGGAUUGUAAACUCCUUUUCUAAGAGAAGAUU